UUUAGCCGGAUGAAAGGAAACUUUCACGUCCGAUUUUUAGGGGGGGAGAUCCUAUCCCAAU
rnacentral:ncRNA from 1 species